GGUGGAUCUGAGGUCAACAGUUCGAGACCAGCCUGGCCAAUAUGGUGAAACCCUAUCUCUACUAAAAAUACAAAAAUUAGGUCAGGCGUGGUGGCUCAUGCCUGUAAUCCCAGCAUUUUGGGAGGCUGAGGCGGGGGAAUCACCUGAGGUCAGGAGUUUGAGACCAGCUUGGCCAACAUGGUGAAACUCCAUCUUUACUAAAAAUACAAAAAUUAGCGGGUUGUGGUAGUGGGCACCUGUAAUCCCAGCUACUUGGGAGGCUGAGGCAAGAGAAUCUCUUGAACCCGGGAGGUGGAGGUUGUAGUGAGCCGAGAUCGUGCUAUUGCACUCCGGCCUCCACAACGAGAGCGUAUCUUUGUCUCAAAAAAAAGUACAAAAAUUAGCCGGACAUGGUGGCACACGCCUGUAGUCGCAGCUACUUGGGCAGCUGAGGCAGGAGAAUUGCUUGAACCCAGGAGGCAGAGGUUGCAGUGAGCCAAGAUCAUGCCACUGACUCCAGCCUGGGUGACAGAGCUAAAAAAAAAAAAAAAGAUAAAACAUAGAUACAGAAAACCACAAAGGAAAAGCAUAGCAUAUUGAAUCAUCACAAGGCAGCCACCCCUUCAUAGCCACACCUGGCCCCUGGCCACCACUGACCUGUGCUCCAUCGCCAGAAUUCCAUUGUCUCAAGAAUGUUCGAUGAAUGGAAUCCUGUGUGGCCUGAGAUGAGUGUCUUUCAUGCCGCGUGACACCCUUGAGGCCCGUGCAAGCUGUUGGUAUGUAAACAGUCAGCUGCUUCUCAUUGCUGAGUGGCGAUUGGUCCUGUCAUGGUUUAUUCAGCCAUGUGGUGGAUGGCUACUUGUCUUCUAAGCCACUUGUUUUCUUAUUGCUGGACUUACUGUCUCACGCUCUCUUGGUGCAGCCCUCGGAAGGCUUGGUCACACUCUCCGAGAGCACAGCCAUCAUCUCCCACGGUACCACAGGCCUGGUCACAUGGGAUGCCACCUGCUACCUUGCAGAAUGGGCCAUCGAGAACCCGGCAGCCUUCACUAACAGACGUGCUGUAUUGCCCAGAAGCCAUCGUGUCGCUGGUCGGGGUCCUGCGGAGGCUGGCUGCCUGCCGGGAGCACCAGCGGGCUCCUGAGGUCUACAUGGCCUUUACCGUCCACAACCCAGAGACAUGCCAGCUGUUCACCACCGAGCUAGGCUGGGCUGGGAUCAGAUGGGAAGCGGAAGCUCAUCAUGACCAGAAACUGUUUCCCUAUGGAGAGCACUUGGAGAUGGCAGUGCUGAACCUCACACUGUAGGACUCACACACGACUCCAAUGGGAUUGUGAGAAUCAAGUCACUCUCGUGGGAAGAAUUUUUAUAUGGGAAAGCGGAUAAAACUUUCAUUGGACUGGAAUGUUUGGAGAAUGUUAAAUUCCAAAUCAGGAACCACAAACUGCCCUCUAAUAAGACAUCGGCUAUCUAAGCGUGUGGGUGCCCCCUUUCUGCCAGCAGUUCUGGUUCUUAAGAAAAUCACCAUAAAUCAGACAUGAAAAUUCUGGCUCCAAAAAUAGCAUUUUCUUUGUGCAAAUAAAAACGUGUGUAUCUAAUAUGACGUUCCCCCAACGUGGACACACUCGGUUCCUCACAAAGCCAAGCCCGCUGCAGCUGCCACAUCCCUGGACACACUCGGUUCCUCACAAAG
rnacentral:lncRNA from 1 species